CGCUGCUCCAUCCCGCAGUGUCAACGACCAUCACUCCAUUGCUGCCUGUGUGCAUGGUUUGGCUAGGCACUCCCAGCCACAUCCUUGGCCUGUGCCCACCGCCAUUCCACAUCGCCACAGGACUUUGGGGGAUUAGGGGGAUACAGGGUGGUUUCCGGUGGCAUGAGGGUACCCAUGACGACUUUCUUCUGGCAAGAGUUGCAGGGGGCUGCCGGUAGUCCGGUCUGUUGGACUCCGCCUGUGCCUGCCCCCAGGUGCCGGUUUGGGAUCACUCUUUGUCUGGCCUCUACCCUUUGACCUGUUCGGCUUGGGUGACCCUGCCAGGAGUACGAGACUCCUGCCGACAUAGCUCUAGGGGUCAUGGAGACGCGCAAAGUGCCUCACCACGAUAAGGUGGUGAUCCCAUCGAGGCACACACACACACACACACACACACACACACACACA